rnacentral:rRNA from 1 species
UUCGCCCUUUUCCGGUUGAUCCUGCCGGAGGCUACUGCUAUCGGGAUUCGAUUAAGCCAUGCGAGUCGAGAGGGUUCGGCCCUCGGCUGACUGCUCAGUAACACGUGGAUAACUUGCCCUCAGGUAGGGGAUAAUCUCGGGAAACUGAGGAUAAUACCCUAUAGGCAUCCUUUGCUGGAAUGCUUGGAUGUUCAAAGGUAACGCCUGAGGAUAGGUCUGCGGCCUAUCAGGUUGUAGUGGGUGUAAUGGACCCACUAGCCCGCGACGGGUACGGGCCUUGAAAGAGGUAGCCCGGAGAUGGACUCUGAGACACGAGUCCAGGCCCUACGGGGCGCAGCAGGCGCGAAAACUUCGCAAUGCGGGAAACCGUGACGAGGGAAUCCCGAGUGCUCAUACAAUGUAUGGGCUUUUCUUAUGUGUAAAUAGCAUGAGGAAUAAGGGCUGGGUAAGACCGGUGCCAGCCGCCGCGGUAAUACCGGCAGCUCUAGUGGUAGCCACUUUUAUUGGGCCUAAAGCGUCCGUAGCCGGUCGGGUAAAUCCUUGGGUAAAUCGUACAGCUUAACUGUGCGGCUUCCGGGGAGACUGCCUGACUUGGGACCGGGAGAGGUUGGAGGUACUCCUGGGGUAGGGGUGAAAUCCUG